CCGCUCCCGUUCCCCUUCAGACCCCGGCUCCAGCGUGUGGCCCCGCCGGGGCCUUUCCUUCCCCCGCAAAUCCCGCAAGCGUCACCCUCCCGAGUCCCGCUCCGCUCCUGGCCGGGCAAUUAGCAGCACACACAGAUGCAGAACCCACCUGUGCUCCUGAAAUAUGCGAAGCAGCUGACAGUGAAGCACUGUUGAAGGGCAGCACUGAGCUGAAAUUCCGUACAGGGAUGUGAUCUAAAGCAAUAGCAUUUUGAGUAUGGUUACUCUCUUAAGGACGUAUUCUGCUGACCAGAGUCUGCCCUGCAAAUGAGUUUUCAAUGGAAAAGGUACCACUGGAGUCUCUUCAAACCCUCUAUUUGUGGUGUCAGCCCUGCCCUCGCUGUGACCGUACUGCUCUGAUAUGCUCUCAGAUAAAACUCUUAAGAAUAGAUGAGGUAGCACAAAUAGUUUCUCUGCCUGAUUAUUCAGCAAAGAUUUCCCACAAGAUGAUCUUGCAUCUUUUAUCUGUACUGAUACAACUCCCUACCUUCACUUACUUGUAGCAGUAGCUUUUCUUUUAGGGCCUUUGGCUUCUACAUUUUAUCUCUUUCACAUUUCUCCAUCUGAUCACGAUUGUUUUCAAGUCUGUGUGCAAUCUUUAGAAGUUGUCAUUAAAAGCAGCUAGUAGUAAGCACUGUUAACUGCUGCCUCCUUUUGCAAUGAGCCAUGCUGUGCUGCCUCUGGAUCUAUUGCCCCAAUAAACAUCACAUCUGUG